rnacentral:rRNA from 1 species
AUUGAACGCUGGCGGCAGGCCUAACACAUGCAAGUCGAGCGGAUGACGGGAGCUUGCUCCUUGAUUCAGCGGCGGACGGGUGAGUAAUGCCUAGGAAUCUGCCUGGUAGUGGGGGACAACGUUUCGAAAGGAGCGCUAAUACCGCAUACGUCCUACGAGAGAAAGCAGGGGACCUUCGGGCCUUGCGCUAUCAGAUGAGCCUAGGUCGGAUUAGCUAGUUGGUGGGGUAAUGGCUCACCAAGGCGACGAUCCGUAACUGGUCUGAGAGGAUGAUCAGUCACACUGGAACUGAGACACGGUCCAGACUCCUACGGGAGGCAGCAGUGGGGAAUAUUGGACAAUGGGCGAAAGCCUGAUCCAGCCAUGCCGCGUGCGUGAAGAAGGUCUUCGGAUUGUAAAGCACUUUAAGUUGGGAGGAAGGGCAGUAAGUUAAUACUUUGCUGUUUUGACGUUACCGACAGAAUAAGCACCGGCUAACUCUGUGCCAGCCGCCGCAGUAAUAC